UCGAACGGUGUAGCAAUACAUAGUGGCGCACGGGUGAGUAACGCGUGGGAACGUGCCUUUUAGUUUGGGAUAACACCGGGAAACUGGUGCUAAUACCGGAUACGCCCUCAGGGGGAAAGAUUUAUCGCUAAAAGAUCGGCCCGCGUUAGAUUAGUUUGUUGGUGGGGUAAUGGCCUACCAAGACUACGAUCUAUAGCUGGUUUGAGAGGAUGAUCAGCCACACUGGAACUGAGACACGGUCCAGACUCC
rnacentral:rRNA from 1 species